rnacentral:rRNA from 1 species
AAAGUCCCCUUCGGGGGACAAGUAGAGUGGCGUCCGGGUGAGUAACACGUAGGUAAUCUACCUUCGGGUGGGGAAUAACGCAGGGAAACUUGCGCUAAUACCGCAUAAUGCAGCGGCACCACAUGGAUGACAGUUGUUAAAGCGGGGGAUUUUCGAACCUCGCGCCUGAAGAGGAGCCUGCGGCAGAUUAGCUAGUUGGUAAGGUAAUGGCUUACCAAGGCGACGAUCUGUAACCGGCCUGAGAGGGCGGUCGGUCACACUGACACUGACAUACGGGUCAGACUCCUACGGGAGGCAGCAGUCGGGAAUUUUGGGCAAUGGGCGAAAGCCUGACCCAGCAACGUCGCGUGAAGGAUGAAAUCCUUCGGGAUGUAAACUUCGCAAGAAUGGGAAGAAUGAGUAGGGGCUAAUACUCCCUAUGAUGACGGUACCAUUUGUAAGCUCCGGCUAACUCCGUGCCAGCAGCCGCGGUAAUACGGGGGGAGCAAGCGUUGUUCGGAUUUACUGGGCGUAAAGGGCGCGUAGGCGGCCAGCGCAAGUCAGUUGUGAAAUCUCCGGGCUUAACUCGGAACGGUCAACUGAUACUGCGCGGCUAGAGUGCGGAAGGGGCAACUGGAAUUCUCGGUGUAGCGGUGAAAUGCGUAGAUAUCGAGAGGAACACCUGCGGCGAAGGCGGGUUGCUGGGCCGACACUGACGCUGAUGCGCGAAAGCCAGGGGAGCGAACGGGAUUAGAUACCCCGGUAGUCCUGGCCUUAAACGAUGGAUGCUUGGUGUC